CUGCUCACUGGGGCUAAGUUCUUUCCAUGCAGUCCUGAGCUGCCCGUCCUGAGCUAGACAGUCAUGACUGGUUUGGAGAUCUUCCGUCUGAGUGGACAAUGGGGUACCUUGGUUUUGAGGAAACA